CGCAGAGAGACAGUGAGAGACGCAGAGAGACAGUGAGAGACGCAGAGAGACAGUGAGAGACGCAGAGAGACAGUGAGAGACAGUGAGAGACGCAGAGAGACAGUGAGAGACAGUGAGAGACGCAGAGAGACAGUGAGAGACAGUGAGAGACAGUGAGAGACGCAGAGAGACAGUGAGAGACGCAGAGAGACAGUGAGAGACAGUGAGAGACGCAGAGAGACAGUGAGAGACAGUGAGAGACGCAGAGAGACAGUGAGAGACAGUGAGAGACAGUGAGAGACGCAGAGAGACAGUGAGAGACAGUGAGAGACAGUGAGAGACGCAGAGAGACAGUGAGAGACAGUGAGAGACGCAGAGAGACCAGGUGUGAUACUGUAGUGCUGUUCAGAGAAUAUGGGAAGCCAACUGGGAGUCUCCAGUUUCAGCACUCUGUAUCAGUAAACAGUUUCUGGGUUUUUGGAAACAUGACGAGCUAUGUCAUAUGUCUACGAGAGAGGAGAAAACGAGAGGCUGAUGAGAGAACGACUGUUUAUAGCUGCUGUAACUUUUUUUCCCUUCACGAGACAACACGUGAAGUUGCUUUAAAAGGAGUGACCGGCGUGAAAUGCAGUGAGCUCUGCCAAGAAGAAGAUAGUGCAAGGCCAUCUGUGGGGUGAGGAUUGUCCUUGGCUGGCCCCGCCCCUUUGCCAAAAGUUGACUUAGUUGGAACCACACUAGAGGCGGAGCCUCCUUGGUACAGCAUGACCCCUCCAACCAGCAUCAUAAAGGCCACGCCUCCUCCGAGGU